rnacentral:rRNA from 1 species
AUGCUCUUGUAUAACCUUAGAUUUAAUAAGAAACACAAUGAGACUAUUAUUUUGCCUGCGCCUUUGUUGUUUGAUUUGAUUGCAGAUAAUUUUCUUGUUACACCGGAGGCGGUGUACGCUCAUCGAGGCCAAGCAUCCACUCAAGAACCUGAACCUGAGCCGGAACCUGCACUAGACCCUUAUCGAGCAUCAUCUUUCCAGUGGGAUCCGAAGAUGGCCAGCCAGUGGUAUCCUGAUUACACCUCCCAGUACACCGGGGAGAGUAGCAGCGGUCCUUGGUACUGGACCAACUUAGGCCAAAAGCCUAAGCAUGGGGGAGUACGUAUUUCUCACCGACUUUACAUUCAUGUUCACACACUAGUCGUCUGUGCUCAUACUCUUUCAUUGUAUUAUCCAUGUUAG